rnacentral:rRNA from 1 species
GGAAUAUUGGACAAUGGGCGCAAGCCUGAUCCAGCCAUGCCGCGUGAGUGAAGAAGGCCCUCGGGUUGUAAAGCUCUUUUGUCCGGAAAGAAAAGCUUUCGGUUAAUACCCGGAAGUCAUGACGGUACCGGAAGAAUAAGCACCGGCUAACUUCGUGCCAGCAGCCGCGGUAAUACGAAGGGUGCAAGCGUUACUCGGAAUUACUGGGCGUAAAGCGUGCGUAGGCGGACUCGCAGGUCAAUUGUGAAAUACCUGGGCUCAACCCGGGAACUGCAGUUGAAACCGCUUGUCUUGAAUACCUGAGAGGGUGGGGGAAUACCUGGUGGAGAAGUGAAAUUCGUAGAGAUCAGGUGGAACACCGGAGGCGAAGGCGCCUGCCUGGCAGUGUAUUGACGCUGAGGUGCGAAAGUGCGGGGAGCAAA